GGGUAUGAUGAUGGCUACGGGGGUGAAUAUGAUGACCAGACCUAUGAGGCUUAUGAUAACACCUAUGCGACCCAGACUCAAAGUGUGCCUGAAUAUUAUGACUACGGUCAUGGAGUAAGUGAGGAUGCCUAUGACAGCUACGCACCAGAAGAAUGGGCCACAACCCGCUCCAGCUUGAAGGCACCACCGCCAAGGUCAGCCAGAGGGGGAUACAGGGAGCACCCCUAUGGUAGAUAUUGAAGGUCCUUCUCACCUGUGACCUCACCUCAAAGACAAUUCAUAGCCUGUGGUCUCCACAUAAACAGCAACAAGACAAGUACCCACAAGCAAAGAACACAUAAUUGAAUAGCAGAUGUGAUGGGAUAAGAAAGAUGGAGGUGAAGACGUACGACAGAAAAAACAAAAACUGGAAUAAAUCUGAUGCUAUUUGGAAGUUCAAUGUUUUUAGCAAUAGAGAGGCCAAAUAAGAAGAAAAUUUGGAUUUGAACCAACAAUAAUGCUAAUUGAUUUUCAUUAUUAAAAGAUCUUCAAAUGACACCUGAAUUAUCAAAAUCAUCAAAGAAAGUAUACAUUGAACUUAAUGUAGCUUUAUUGGUACUUUUCUGCAAAGACAAUUCUGUUCAACAUGGAAGACGUUGGAACCUCCAGUGGUUGGAACAGGGGGCCUUCACCAAAAAGCAGUCAGUCGUCUAUGUUUUUGUUCCACCUACAAGUGUUCAUUGGCUCACUCCUGCAGUCAACUUUGAUCCAACUAUGUUCUUCAGUCACCAGACCCUAUCACAUAUCUGUAAAAUUUGAAAAUAAACAAGUAUUUAAAAUAUG